rnacentral:rRNA from 1 species
UACGGGGGGGGUAAGCGUUGUUCGGAAUUACUGGGCGUAAAGGGCUCGUAGGCGGCCAACUAAGUCGGACGUGAAAUCCCUCGGCUUAACCGGGGAACUGCGUCUGAUACUGGAUGGCUCGAGUUUGGGAGAGGGAUGCGGAAUUCCAGGUGUAGCGGUGAAAUGCGUAGAUAUCUGGAGGAACACCGGUGGCGAAGGCGGCAUCCUGGACCAACACUGACGCUGAGUGAGCGAAAGCCAGGGGAGCAAACGGG